UGCAAUUAAGGCACCAAUAUUAUAAGCACAAGAGAUUUUGAAAUUAGGAUGAGAUGAUAACACUGACAUCCAAUUUAAAUGUCAGCGCUGCUGGAAUAAGAAGUAGGACUUUUAUCAUUCAGUAAAGAACGAUGAAAUACUGCCGUGCAUAUUGCUCAUGAGUAUGAAGCAUGAUGAGGCAGCAUGACUCGAUGUACCCAAUACUGGUACUUAGGAGCCCUAUAAUGGAUUUUCCCAAGAUUUCAAAAGUGUCUUAUUCCUAGACCCAAAACAAGGGGAGAGCUAGUGAUGCUUCAUCAGCAGGGAAAGAGAAGUGCCACUUUAUCAUAUCUCUGUGUGUAUACUGACCAGCCAGAUACAAUGGAUGAAACUGGGGCACCCAAGAAGACAGAGUGUGACCAAUUCUGUAUCUUCCAUCCCAGGGAGUGUUCUAAUCUCUCAGCUGACAUUAACAGCAAGACAAAAA